UAAUACGGAGGGUGCAAGCGUUGUUCGGAAUUACUGGGCGUAAAGCGCGUGUAGGCGGCCUUUUAAGUCUGAUGUGAAAGCCCGGGGCUCACCCCCGGAAGUGCAUCGGAUACUGGGAGGCUCGAGUACCGGAGAGGAGGGUGGAAUUCCUGGUGUAGCGGUGAAAUGCGUAGAUAUCAGGAGGAACACCGGUGGCGAAGGCGGCCCUCUGGACGGAUACUGACGCUGAGACGCGAAAGCGUGGGGAGCAAACAGGAUUAGAUACCCUGGUAGUCCACGCCGUAAACGAUGGGUACUAGGUGUUCGGGGUAUUGACCCCCUGGGUGCCGAAGCUAACGCAUUAAGUACCCCGCCUGGGGAAUACGGUCGCAAGAUUA
rnacentral:rRNA from 1 species